rnacentral:rRNA from 1 species
GACGAACGCUGGCGGCGUGCUUAACACAUGCAAGUCGAACGAUGAAGCCUAGCUUGCUAGGUGGAUUAGUGGCGAACGGGUGAGUAAUACGUGAGUAACCUACCUUUAACUCUGGGAUAAGCCUGGGAAACUGGGUCUAAUACCGGAUACGACCAAUCUCCGCAUGGGGUGUUGGUGGAAAGCGUUAUGUAGUGGUUAUAGAUGGGCUCACGGCCUAUCAGCUUGUUGGUGAGGUAACGGCUCACCAAGGCGACGACGGGUAGCCGGCCUGAGAGGGUGACCGGCCACACUGGGACUGAGACACGGCCCAGACUCCUACGGGAGGCAGCAGUGGGGAAUAUUGCACAAUGGGCGCAAGCCUGAUGCAGCGACGCCGCGUGAGGGAUGACGGCCUUCGGGUUGUAAACCUCUGUUAGCAGGGAAGAAGAGAGAUUGACGGUACCUGCAGAGAAAGCGCCGGCUAACUACGUGCCAGCAGCCGCGGUAAUACGUAGGGCGCGAGCGUUGUCCGGAAUUAUUGGGCGUAAAGAGCUUGUAGGCGGUUUGUCGCGUCUGCUGUGAAGGCCGGGGCUUAACCCCGUGUAUUGCAGUGGGUACGGGCAGACUAGAGUGCAGUAGGGGAGACUGGAAUUCCUGGUGUAGCGGUGGAAUGCGCAGAUAUCAGGAGGAACACCGAUGGCGAAGGCAGGUCUCUGGGCUGUAACUGACGCUGAGAAGCGAAAGCAUGGGGAGCGAACAGGAUUAGAUACCCUGGUAGUCCAUGCCGUAAACGUUGGGCACUAGGUGUGGGGGACAUUCCACGUUUUCCGCGCCGUAGCUAACGCAUUAAGUGCCCCGCCUGGGGAGUACGGCCGCAAGGCUAAAACUCAAAGAAAUUGACGGGGGCCCGCACAAGCGGCGGAGCAUGCGGAUUAAUUCGAUGCAACGCGAAGAACCUUACCAAGGCUUGACAUAUACUGGACCGCAUCAGAGAUGGUGUUUCCCUUCGGGGCUGGUAUACAGGUGGUGCAUGGUUGUCGUCAGCUCGUGUCGUGAGAUGUUGGGUUAAGUCUCGCAACGAGCGCAACCCUCGUUCUAUGUUGCCAGCACGUUAUGGUGGGGACUCAUAGGAGACUGCCGGGGUCAACUCGGAGGAAGGUGGGGAUGACGUCAAAUCAUCAUGCCCCUUAUGUCUUGGGCUUCACGCAUGCUACAAUGGCCGGUACAGAGGGUUGCGAUACUGUGAGGUGGAGCUAAUCCCUAAAAGCCGGUCUCAGUUCGGAUUGGGGUCUGCAACUCGACCCCAUGAAGUCGGAGUCGCUAGUAAUCGCAGAUCAGCAUGCUACGGUGAAUACGUUCCCGGGUCU